UGCCCUAGAAUAGUCACAGAAAAAUAUUUAGUAUAAUCAGAACUGGAAAGAAUCCAGAUGUUCAUCAACAGUACAACAUCACCAUAGAUAAACAGAUUAUGUUGUAGUUCGUAUGAACACUUAAACAACAUGAGGAUGAAGCAACUAUUGAUAUAGCAGCAAUAUAGAUGAAUAAGACCAAAAAAAAUGAUUUUUUUUUUGUCUUUUUUUUUUGCUAUUUCUUGGGCCGCUCCCGCGGCAUAUGGAGGUUCCCAGGCUAGGGGUCCAUUCAGAGCUGUAGCCACCGGCCUACGCCAGAGCCACAGCAACGUGGGAUCUGAGCCGUGUCUGCGACCUACACCACAGCUCACGGCAAUGCUGGAUCGUUAACCCACUGAGCAAGGGCAGGGACCAAACCCGCAACCUCAUGGUUCCUAGUCGGAUUCAUUAACCACUGCGCCACGAUGGGAACUCCCAAAAAAUGAUUUUUAAGCCAAAGAAGCAAGACACAAAUGUCUAUGCUAAGGGAUUCUGCUUUUUUUUUAGGUAUGAAAAUGGGCAAAAUCAAUUUCUGCUAAUAGAAAUAACGAUAUGGGUUUCCUCAGGCGAAAGAUAAUGACCAGACGGUAAUACAAGGGUUUUUUUUAGUUACCAGAGUAUUGUAUUUCUUCACAUGAAUGUUAAUUUCAUGGAGGUGAUCAAUUUGUGCAAAAUUCUUCAGUUGAAAAUGCAACUUUUUAAUUUUUUGAAUGUAAUAAUCAGUAAAAGUUAAAUAUAAAUUUUACUAAACUGUAAAUCAUUCAUAUUGAUAAAAUAAAUGUUGCUUUUACUCUUUUAAUAUUGAAAUAUAGUUGAUUUAUAAUAGUGUAUUAGUUUCAGCUGUACAACACAGUGAUUCAGUAUUUGUGUGUAUUAUAUUCCACUAUAGGUUAUUACAAGAUGAUGGGUAUACUUUGUUCACUCUGAAAGAUGUACUACUCUCUAGAUUAGGGUAACUUUCAGUUGUUUUUUUUUUUUAAUAUUGAUUCUGAUUGUCCUGAACAUUAUUGCUAUGCUCUAUUUAUGGGCAAUUCACUCAGUUCUAUUACUGGAUGGUUAUCUAGUGAUAAACUGUAAAUAAAUCAUUUGUGAGUAGUAUCAUUUUGAAGUAAGAUAAUGAAAUGGCUUUAUUUGAUUCUCAUUCUAGAAAGGUAAAAGGCAUACUGAGAAAUAUUCAAUGGUAUAAUAACACAGAGGGUGUCCCUUUAGGCACUUGCUCUUAAUUCAAGUUUUCUAUUCUUAACCAUAUAAAUGCUCAUUAUUAUCACCAGCCUCAUCCUAUCUAAAUGCUAAUUGCUUGUAUUCUAUUUACUAUGAAGACAUACCAAACUCCUCAUAUAUGUUCUUAAAAUAUCGAACACCUCCCCAGUUACAUUUCUAUCAUAUUUCAUUGAACCUUCUUGAUUAACUGCUAGUCUUUCCAGCUAGAAUGUCAGUGCCACCAGGGACUACACAAUGUCCAUCUAGUUCACUGUUUCAUCACCAAUAUCUUACACAUUUAAUUACAUGUAUUAGAUACUUAUGUAAUAGUUAUAAGUGACUGAGUAAAGUAAUCCAAUGAGAAGUAUUCAAGCAGAAACAUAUCUCUGGAUUUUUCUGAAAAAUUUAUACAUUCUUCUAAAUGCCAAAAUGUGAUAAAAAGGAGUUGUUAAAAUGAGACAAUAAAAUAUAUAUAUAUUUAUAUGUAUGUAUUUAUAAUUCUCCCGUGAAAAUUAAAGUAUAACUGUAAGAACUGCUGAUUUAAAGGAACCUGUUAAUAACCAGUCAGUAGUAAGACUAAAAAACAUUGGUACACACUGAGAUUAAGGUCAACACCUUUGAGAACUGGAACAAGAGCAUGCAAGAAAGUAUUGGUCGCCAUAUAAUCAGGCAGUAUUACACGUAGCUAUUAACAUGUCAAGAUGUGUUUGUGAUCUUUUCUAUUGCUAGUGGUGAGUCAUUCUUGCAAGUUAAAUAGAUAACAGAUGAUAGAUCAGUCGACCAAUAGAUAGAUAUGGUACUUGACACAAAUCUUAGUAACAGUGUUCCAAGAAAUAAAAAAUAAGUUUAGGAUGCUAAAUAAAUACUCAACUUGGCUAUUUUGACACAAGAUUCUAUAUCUUCCUGUUACUUUACUAAAAGAUGAAUGCUAAGUUAUUCAAAAACUUCCCAUUAUUGUACACUGAUGUUUUCCAUUAUUUGAAUUUUUGCUUAGAUGACAAGUCCUAGUAAUUAUAAUUAAAAUAUUACUAAAAUAGCAAAAAAAACACUACUAAAAUUAGUACUAAAAUACUAAGUACUAGUCUUCCCUUUCUCAGAGGUUAGGGGCACCUAGUCUUGGUGCAGUUGAAAAUCUAUGAAUAACUUUAAAACAGCCGUCCAUACCCACAGUUCUGGAACCUUGGAUUUGACCAACUAUGAAUCUUGUGGCAGUGUAGUAUUUAUUAUUAAAAAUAAAUGUACAUAUAAAUGGACCCAUGUAGUUCAUCCCAUGUUGUUUAAAGAUCAGCUGUACUACAAAGUGCAGAAAAAUUCAAGAUUUCAGGAAUUCUUAAGAAGUCCUGGGAAUUCUUUUGAAGAUAUGUAUAACUGUUGUGGAUUCGGAAACUGUAAAUCCAACUUGCUACUUACCUUUAAGAUGCUUUAUCUGUUUGGAAAGAAAAUGCUAUUUAUAAAAUAUAAAUUAUCUACAUAGCCAAAUAUACUAAGUACCUCUGCCAGUAGAGAAAUCGACUGCAAAGUUAUUAGAGGUCAAUUUCAAAUGUGUGGGGGAAGAGGAUUUGGGGAUUUCAAGAUUGGGUUGCACUGAAAGAAGAAGGCAAGGAAUGAAAAGAAUAAUUUAGGCAAGAAAAAACGGAAUAAUUAAAGUAUAUACAGAAAAAUAAUUUCUGCUGCUUAAUCAUAGGGUAAUUUUUUUCUUUUUUUAAAGUAAUGAAAGUUCAUAUGAGAAUCAAAUUAGAAAAUCUUGGAAAAAUAAGUAAAAAUAGCUAGUGUUGGUACUUGAAUAAUUGUUAAAACAGUAAUACUUGAAUGUUGUCAAAUUUGGUUGGGGUUUACCCUAAAGGCUAUUGGAGUUUUGAUCAAGGUGUGGGAUAAUUCUGUAUGUAAGGGACAGAAACUGUGUAUGAAAGAAUAUAAUGUUUAUUUCAAUUAAAAAUGAAUUCCACCCAUAUUUUGAAUACAUUUAUUGAAGUACAAUCAAUGUGAUUAUUAAUAAUUAAAAACUCUUAAAAUCCCUCAACAUAGAUGAACUCUAUAUUAAAGCUUAUGCCAUUAUUUAAAAUACUGAGUAAAGAUAUCAGGUUAGAAUGAUUCAAAACCAGUGCAAAAUUUAUCUAACAUCAAAUUUACUCAUUUAUUUAUCCAUUCAUAUAUCCAUCACAUAUUUAAGAGUUCUCUGGUAUUUCCCAAAUACUAGAUGGUGUUGAGUAACUUUUGAAUUUUUUAACAGUCCUUAAAUAGAGUUCCUAAAGUGGGAGAAAGUCUAGAAAUUUUCAGAGGUAAUAUGGAGAUAGUGUGACUAGGAGUAAAUGAGAAUGGCUAGGGGCUGAUCACAUGAGAAGGGAUCUAAGAGGUAAGAGUAGGGCCAAAGGUGGAUGGGCUGCAGAUUCAGUAGGGCUCUGAAGGCCUUUGGGAGGACUAUGAUUUUUACUCUAAGUGAGAUAAGGUACCACUGGAUAGUUUGAAAGGAAAAUUGACAUGAUCUGGUUUAUGUUUUUAAAAGAUCACUCUAAGGAGUUCCCAUUGUGGUGAAAUAUAAAUGAAUCUGACUAAAAUCCAUGAGGAUGUGGGUUUGAUUUCUGGUCUCGCUCAGUGGGUUGGGGAUCUGGCAUUGGUAUGAGCUGUGGUAUAGACUGCAGAUGUCAUUCAGAUCCCAUGUUGCUGUGGCUGUGGCAUAGGCCGGCAGCUGCAGCUCCAAUUUGACCCCUAGACUGGAAACUUCCACAUGCC
rnacentral:lncRNA from 1 species